GGGGGGGGGGUCUGGUGCGGGUUUGUCCCCCAUGACGUCUUGGGACCUCUCUGACAUAGUUGUAAACUCUAGAGGGAAAGACUCCCAGGGUUGGUUGUGGUUCUAACUCGGCUCGUUUCCCUUCCAGCAGAGACACGGCGUUCAGCAGAUGGUCAGGAUCCAGUGGCCAUUCCGCUCUUCCCCCAGGGCGCCCCGAGUCUGGUAGUCAUUAAAAAGACAUAGCCCUUUAAAAGUGUGACACCGUCUUCCUUAAAGAGCCUGAAGCAAUGGCCCCAAAGAUAUCAGGACUCCACCUCCAGGACCUGAGACGGUGACCUUAUUGGGGAAAGAACUUUUUGUAGACUGUUGCCUUCAGAGCUCAGCCUUGCCUGAAAUCCAUCCACUCAAGAGCAGGUUCGCAAAGGGGAAAUGAAGGUCCACGGCAGAACGUGAAGAGGAAAAUGCUUUUCCAAACCCAGGCUGAGGACUGAGCCACGAGGUUGCCUGAUCUUCCCAGGUCCUCGUUCCUGAAUCCUGAUGGCCCAGGCAGUGCCUCUCCACCCAGCCCCCCGCCUGCCCAGACUCUGCCUCGGAACUAGAAGACUCUUCAAAAGAAAAAAGGGUGAAGCGAGCCAUGAGCAGAGGCUGGAAACAAAUAGUCCCCCUUUAGAUGUAGGUCAGCACUUCUCCACUGGCCCAACGCACACCGUCCCCCGUCCAGGAGGCGUGUCUGUUCAGCGGCACUAGCACCUCGCCCCAGCCCCUGCCGAAGGCAUCAAGCGUGGGCGAGGUCAGCCUCAAAAAUGAUUCUCCAAACGCGUUGGAUCUCCAGAUGCCUUCCGCGUAGAAAGCUAGGAUUCAUUUAUGAACAACCCGAAUCCGUUUCCCUGUAGGAGCAAAGGAGAAGAACGUGUCGUCUCCUCCAGACGGGGACACGGAGAACGGGGUGGCGUGAGGUCCCCUCUCAGAGGGGACGCGGGUCCUUUGGAAGAUGUGUCCUCGCCGUCUCCAGGGAACUGGAGGGGUGUCAGCUCCUCUGAAGCGAGUAUGCUGGUAAACGGAGAAUUUUCAAAGAAUUGGCUUUUUAAACAUUCAGUACCCAACGCGUUGAUGGACAAGUUCCACGUCAACUCAGUUGAAACGGCCAGCCUCCGACUGUCGGGUUGCUUGAUGUGACAAACCCAGCUCUAUGGCUGUGGCUGUAGACGGAGACGCUCACGUAAUGUGGGACGCGUGUUGGAUGCGGUGACUCUGCCACCUCUCGGUCUUUCGUAUCUGUCAGUCAUCCAUCUGCUGUCGUGGGUCACAUCUAUCCGUCUUUCAUCUCCCCAUGGCUCUAUCCCAUCUCCACUCUUCCAUCGCUCAGGAGCUGUGUAUCUAAUAUCAUCUGUCCACCCCCCAUCAUUGAUCUGCUCCAACAUCUCUCUACCACUGAUUGCAUCUGUAAGUCAUUCUUCUAUUUAUCUAUCAUUUUAUCUAUGUAUAUGUCUGUCCAUCCGGCCAAAAUAUCUAUUUAUCUAUCAACUGUCCAUCCAUCUUAUCUGUCUACCUAUUUCUCUAUCUUUUUAUCCAUCUAUCCAUCUCUAUCUAUAAUCGCUGUAUCCAUCUGUAUGUCUGUCUGUCUGUCCAUCCAUCCAUCAUAUCUUUCUGUCUGUCUGUCUUUCUAUCAUUGAUGUCUACUGUCUCUCAUCUAUGUCUGUCUGUCUCUCUAUCUAUCAUCUAUCUGUGUCUAUCAUCGAUCCAAUCAAUCAUUCACAGACGAUGCCCUCACUCAUUCUGCUGUUACCCUCGUUCUUCCAAUGAAAACCCACCUGAUGAAACCCUUAGUUACCUGAGGAAGGGCUGCAGCCCUAGAGAUGGAGCUGAGACGUGGCCCUUCCUACCUCUUUCCUGAAAGUGAUGUGACUCCCGGCCAGUUACGUUUGACCUGCUUCAGGGUCAUGGUUACACGUAUUCGCUCACGUACACAACCGUAGUCAUUGGUGUCGUGGGUCCAUAGACUACUCUGCAGUAACUCAGGCAGCGUUGUCAGUUUGGGUAUUUCAUUUUAUUCCCCCUUAUUAUUGUUGUGUAGAGUCCUUGCAGACACCUGUUGAGCACACGUUUGAAUGUGGGAAACACUUCUCUCUGAUGGAGCACGGGAGGUGAAUUGCAUAUGUGUGAGCUUCCUAGGCACAAGCAUCCUUGGACACUGGAGAUUUACAGGAUCGGCGGCUUCUGGGGAAGCUCAUGGGAGCCCACAUCAGUGGGCUGUUACCUGGGACCAGAACUUCUCCUCAUGGCUGAAUCAGGUCCCGUGUUUUGCUGUGGACGUAGCCGUCUGUUACCUCGGAUGUGUGUGAACUAUUUGACCUGCUCUGGAUGCUGUUCACACCGCAAUUCAUGUUGCCGUCACUCCCUCCAGGAGAUAAGAUGCAAAGGAAUCGGUUUCACCGUGGGACACAGCCCAGGGCUCAGAGCUCCAUUGCCAUGGCAGAUAAAGGUAAGUGUGAAACGCUUCAGCUCCCCGGCCCUAAGGGUGUCAGAACAGCAGCCGGAUCCUGAUCGGAUUGUCAUUGAUUUGAAUCAGCUCUCAACAGACCCUUGUUCCAGCGCAUGAGCUUCUUGUCCUUAUGUAGCCAAACCUGGCCUCUGUCCCCUGACACCAGUGAAGUCUUGGAGACAGAGCUGGGGUAAAGCAGAAAGAAGAGCUCUAUGGCUCUGCCAGGCAGAGGAGGCUCCAGCAGGGCAGCCCCUCCCAGCGGUGCCCUCCCUUGAGAGGGAACAGCCAGGGCUCUUCGAGGUUGAGCUCAGAAGACAGCGUUGUUGAUCGAGGGGUCUGUAUUCUUCUCCCUCCAUAGAUCAGUUCAGAGUCGUCGAGUCCAGCAUCAGUGGGUCUGGUGAUGGUUUCUGGUUGUCUCUGGGGUGAUGGCUCCUUGCCCUUCUCUCUGGAAUGAAGUUUGCUUACAGGGAAGGGGUGUUAGGAGGUGUUCCAGUUACAAAAGACACCACCAGGUAACAUAGAACUCUACUAGAGAGUAACCAUGAGCCAGAGAAAGCCGUUAAGCAAAGAAGAGGUCAUUUGUGCAAAGCCAGGGAGAGCAAGUUCAUGGUCAAGGCAGGGGCUGAACCUCCUGGAGGCUAUUUUAACUCGUGUUCAGCUGUCACCGUAUUUCCUUAGCAUGAACUCUGGAGUCAGCUUUUUGAGACAGAGCAGGGGCCUGGGAGGUGAAAGGCAAAGCUUUUUCCUUCAAAACACAAGGACUCGGGAGUAGGUCCACGGUUUCACUUGUAGUGGCUGAUGUAAUACAUUUUCUAAAUCGCGUAGAAUGGGUUCUGGCAGAGGGUCACCGGAAGGAAGUGUGUUUGUGUUCAGCGGUCCCAUACGGCGGUGCCGAUGGCUCCCAAUUACCGUGUGCCUGAAAUGCCUCCUGAAACUUCACAAAGAGACCGCGUGGCUCGCGUCCACAAGUUUCACGGGAGAGUGAUGGCUCUAUUGCUGUGGCUGAAUUCUGAAUCUGAAUUUGAAACAUUUCCCUGGCUAAAAUGAUUUAUAGGUGACCUAUGUAAAGUAAAGUUAUAUAUAUAAAAUUGUUAUUAUAUAUAAAUUAUAUAUAUGUUAUGGGUGUACAUGUGUAUAUAUUAUUAUAUAUAAAUUAUAUACACAUUAUAGGUAUAUAUGUGUAUAUAUCAUUAUAUGUAAAUUAUAUAUACAUUAUGGGUAUAUAUGUGUGUGUAUUAUAUAUAAAUCAUAUACAUUAUGGGUAUGUAUGUGCAUAUAUUAUUAUAUAUAAAUUAUAUAUACAUUAUGGGUAUGUAUGUGUAUACAUAGAUAUAUAUAAAAACAGAGAGAGAGGAUUUUUUUUUGGCCUCACCUGCAGCACAAGGAAAUUCCUGAGCCAGACUUUGAAUCCGCACCACAGCAGCGAGCCAAGCUACGGCAGUGACAGUGUCAAAUCCUUAACCUCCUGAGCCACCCAGGCACUCUAAGAGGACACUUUUUUAAUUAACAUUUUUUACCGCAGUGUCGUUAAUGUACAGUAUUGUGUGGGUUACAAGCCUGUAGCGUCGUGAUUCACAAUGUUUUACAGAUUAUGCUCCGUUUAUAGUUAUUGUAACAUCUUGGCUCUGUUCCCAACGUUGCACAAAUCUGUCCUUGACGCUUAUUUAUUUCAUACCUAAGAGUUUCCACCUCUUACUCCCCUCCCCCUCGCCCCCUCCCCACGGGUCAGAACCACUUGGUUCUCUGUAUCCGUGACUCUGCCUCCAUUUCAUUAUAGUCACUAGUGCGUCGUGUUUGGUAGAGUCCCUGUUUCUGGGAUGUCGUGUGGUAUCUGUCUCUUUCUGACUUGCACUCAACCUCAGGCCGCCAGGCUCUGCACUUAGAGGCGCACAGUGUCUUACCCCCCUUCUGCCAUCAGCCCGGUGACAGACGUGCAAUCCCACUGUUGGCAUGGUCAGUUAUGAGGGUUUAUGCAUCAGCCAUUACUCAGCCACAGAGAAUGUGGAUUUUUCCAUCCCUUUGCCAGAGAACAUGACCUUAAAAUGCCGUCCACAUGGGUUGAGCAACCGCUGGAGAGAUGUGAUUUUUGGAAAGGAUGGUUGGAAGGACCAUGGAAUAGAUGUUAUUUCCAACUCACCCUGGACCCUCCAAAAGCUGAGGUCUUCGCCCAGCUUCUGUGAUAGUUCUGCACAGAAUCGCUUCCCCUGAACAGUGCUUUGUUAUUACACCCUGAAAAUAUGGACAGCAGAGUGCUUUUACAAAUUGAGUCACUGGUGUUCCCUCCAAAGGAAUGCUUGAAGAUUAUUUUGGGAAUGAAUGACUCAGAGAUAUGACCAGAACAGCUUUUCUUCCUAGGAAAUGCAGUUGGGCAAUGGUUAUCGACAGAGGUCUCAUACUUUUUUCCUUUGGCUGCCAGGAAGCUCAUAACGAAAUUAACUUUUUAAAAAAUCUUGUUAUUGUGGUUGACAGGGACAUAAAACAUUUUGGGUGAGGGGAUGAGGAAAGAGUCAGUUUUUACAUCCUCUGUCUUCUAAGUCUUUGCUAGGGUUCAGUCAGCUCUGUAUUUUUUGUUUGUUUUGUUUUGUUUGUCUUUUUGCUAUUUCUUUGGGCUGCUCCCAUGGCAUGUGGAGGUUCCCAGGCUAGGGGUCGAAUCAGAGCUGUAGCCACUGGCCCACACCAGAGCCACAGCAACGCGGGAUCCAAGCCGCAUCUGCAACCUAUACCACAGCUCACGGCAACGCCGGAUCGUUAACCCACUGAGCAAGGGCAGGGACCAAACCCGCAACCUCAUGGUUCCUAGUCGGAUUCGUUAACCACUGCGCCACGACGGGAACUCCAAGUCAGCUCUGUAUCUGUUUGGAGAAUUGCAGACAGACACAGAAGUAGGGAGACUAGUAUAUUUCAAUCCUCCUUG
rnacentral:lncRNA from 1 species